ACUACGGGUGGCAGCAGUGAGGAAUAUUGGUCAAUGGGCGGGAGCCUGAACCAGCCAAGCCGCGUGAGGGAAGAAGGUACAGCGUAUCGUAAACCUCUUUUGUCAGGGAACAAAGGCGGGGACUAGUCCCCGGAUGAGGGUACCUGAAGAAAAAGCAUCGGCUAACUCCGUGCCAGCAGCCGCGGUAAUACGGAGGAUGCGAGCGUUAUCCGGACUUAUGGGGUUUAAAGGGUGCGCAGGCGGCAUGUUAAGUCAGCGGUAAAAGCCCGGGGCUCAACCCCGGCGAGCCGUUGAAACUGGCGGGCGGGAGUUGGAGAGAAGUACGCGGAAUGCGCGGUGUAGCGGUGAAAUGCUUAGAUAUCGCGCAGAACCCCGAUUGCGAAGGCAGCGUACCGGCUCCACACUGACGCUGAGGCACGAAAGCGUGGGUAUCGAACAGGAUUAGAUACCCUUGUAGUC
rnacentral:rRNA from 1 species